AAAGUCGUAACAAGGUCUCCGUAGGUGAACCUGCGGAGGGAUCAUUAACACGUAUCCACGUAUCAACCAAACCGCGAACUCGGGACUUCACCGUCCUAAUCUGACCUAUGACAAAAGUUGUGAAGAGAAAUUGUGUGGUGGGUAUUGGCGCUGUUUGGAAAGAGAGAGUAGCUGCAGUAUCUGAAUUUGUGGCAGUGAGCCUUCGGGCAAAGUCUGUCGAAGGAUGAACCCGCGCGAAACCUUUCCAGUCAGCGUCAGUACGAUUUCUCCAGCAUCAGAGGGUAAAGCCUUAAAGCUUUUGUUGUAGGCCUUUUUUUCAUUUUACCACUACGAAAAUACCCUUUUCACCAUUUAACCCCAAUAGCCUGAUCACAUUCAAUGUGGAGAGAAAUCUCUGCUAGAUUGAAUCAAAUAUUCUAACUAAAGCACAACUCUUAGCAACGGAUAUCUUGGUUCUC
rnacentral:misc_RNA from 1 species